rnacentral:rRNA from 1 species
GAUUAACGCUAGCGGCAGGCCUAAUACAUGCAAGUCGAACGAGAUUCAGAAUAGCAAUAUUUUGAUGAAAGUGGCGCACGGGUGCGUAACACGUAUGCAAUUUGCCUUUAACUGGGGGAUAGCCUUCCGAAAGGAAGAUUAAUACCGCAUAAUAUAUUUGAAAAGCAUUUUUUGAAUAUUAAACUUACGGGGGUUAAAGAUGAGCAUGCGUCCGAUUAGCUAGUUGGUGAGGUAACGGCUCACCAAGGCAACGAUCGGUAGGGGGUCUGAGAGGAUGAUCCCCCACACUGGUACUGAGACACGGACCAGACUCCUACGGGAGGCAGCAGUAAGGAAUAUUGGACAAUGGGCGCAAGCCUGAUCCAGCCAUGCCGCGUGAAGGAUUAAGGCCCUAUGGGUUGUAAACUUCUUUUAUACGGGACAAAACCCCUCUACGUGUAGAGGGUUGAUGGUACUGUAAGAAUAAGCAUCGGCUAACUUCGUGCCAGCAGCCGACGGUAAAACGUAGCGUG